rnacentral:rRNA from 1 species
GACGAACGCUGGCGGCGUGCUUAACACAUGCAAGUCGAACGGAAAGGCCCUGCUUUUGUGGGGUGCUCGAGGGGCGAACGGGUGAGUAACACGUGAGUAACCUGCCCUUGACUUUGGGAUAACUUCAGGAAACUGGGGCUAAUACCGUAUAGGAGCUCCUGCUGCAGGGUGGGGGGUGGAAAGUUUCGGCGGUUGGGGAUGGACUCGCGGCUUAUCAGCUUGUUGGUGGGGUAGUGGCUUACCAAGGCUUUGACGGGUAGCCGGCAUGGGAGGGUGACCGGCCACAUUGGGACUGCGAUACGGCCCAGACGCCUACGGGAGGCAGCAGUGGGGAAUAUUGCCCAAUGGGCGGAAGCCUGAUGCAGCAGCGCCGCGUGCGGGAUGACGGCCUUCGGGUUGUAAACCGCUUUCGCCUGUGACGAAGCGUGAGUGACGGUAAUGGGUAAAGAAGCACCGGCUAACUACGUG